CAGAAUAAGCACCGGCUAACUCUGUGCCAGCAGCCGCGGUAAUACAGAGGGUGCGAGCGUUAAUCGGAUUUACUGGGCGUAAAGCGCGCGUAGGUGGUUAAUUAAGUCAAAUGUGAAAUCCCCGAGCUUAACUUGGGAAUUGCAUUCGAUACUGGUUAGCUAGAGUAUGGGAGAGGAUGGUAGAAUUCCAGGUGUAGCGGUGAAAUGCGUAGAGAUCUGGAGGAAUACCGAUGGCGAAGGCAGCCAUCUGGCCUAAUACUGACACUGAGGUGCGAAAGCAUGGGGAGCAAACAGGAUUAGAUACCCUGGUAGUCCAUGCCGUAAACGAUGUCUACUAGCCGUUGGGGGAUUUGAUCCUUUAGUGGCGCAGCUAACGCGAUAAGUAGACCGCCUGGGGAGUACGGUCGCAAGACUAAAACUCAAAUGAAUUGACGGGGGCCCGCACAAGCGGUGGAGCAUGUGGUUUAAUUCGAUGCAACGCGAAGAACCUUACCUGGCCUUGACAUAGUAGAGACUUUCCAGAGAUGGAUUGGUGCCUUCGGGAAUCUACAUACAGGUGCUGCAUGGCUGUCGUCAGCUCGUGUCGUGAGAUGUUGGGUUAAGUCCCGCAACGAGCGCAACCCUUUUCCUUACUUGCCAGCAUUUCGGAUGGGAACUUUAAGGAUACUGCCAGUGACAAACUGGAGGAAGGCGGGGACGACGUCAAGUCAUCAUGGGCCCUUACGGCCAGGGCUAC
rnacentral:rRNA from 1 species